GACGAACGCUGGCGGCAGGCCUAACACAUGCAAGUCGAGCGAGGACUUCGGUCCUAGCGGCGGACGGGUGAGUAACGCGUGGGAACGUGCCCUUUGCUUCGGAAUAGCCCUGGGAAACUGGGAGUAAUACCGGAUGAGCCCUUUGGGGGAAAGAUUUAUCGGCGAAGGAUCGGCCCGCGUUGGAUUAGGUAGUUGGUGGGGUAAUGGCCUACCAAGCCGACGAUCCAUAGCUGGGUUGAGAGGAUGAUCAGCCACACUGGGACUGAGACACGGCCCAGACUCCUACGGGAGGCAGCAGUGGGGGAUCUUUGACAAUGGGGGAAACCCUGAUCUAGCCAUGCCGCGUGAGCGAUGAAGGCCUUAGGGUUGUAAAGCUCUUUCAGCUGGGAAGAUAAUGACGGUACCAGCAGAAGAAGCCCCGGCUAACUCCGUG
rnacentral:rRNA from 1 species